AGGAGUGGAAAUGGUAACAAAUGGACAUAUAUUUUAGAGACAGCAACUCCUGGACAAAAAGAAAAGGCUGACACGGUUUGUAGGAGCAGUGCCUUGAACUCAAAGUCAGAAGAUUUCAUAGAAGGGACUGAAAUCAGAGUUGAAGGAGAGGAAGCAAAAAACCUUUUUCAGGCUCUGCACAAAGGGACUUCGCUUCAAGAGACGUCUCAUCUCUUCCAGCCAGACUACUUUUGCCUUUAGAAAGGAGUGAAAAACAAUGCUGCAAGAAAGAGGUGUUCCUGCACACAGGGGUUUAUUACCUAAGAGAUGUCUGAUUCCAUGAAAUAAAUAUUUUAUGUAACAAGCCCUUGGCUCUUAAAAUGGAUAGAGCUGUCUAACUUUAGCAUAAUAGAUUGCAUUGCAAGAUGGUCUUUUACAGUCUCUUUUAAAUCUUCUCCCUUAUUCUCGGCAGAGAUUGGGAGAUGUUACUGCAGGUGUCAUUUGAACUUUUAAACAAUAAUUAAAUCUCAUUCUUGUUUAUCAGUUUCUUUUAUUGUUGCAAAAGCUAACAAUCUGAAAUACUUUACGUUAGUUUUAAAAAAGAGCUUUUUGCUAGGAUCUAUUAAUCAUCUAAAACUUCUGAAAUGCAGUGUUAUCAAAUUGCAAAAUUUCACUCGUAGGUAGAAAAUACUAUUUAGUUUUGUUUUUUUUUUUUUGGAUUUUCCUAUUGCAAACUUCUGUGAAGUUAAUGUAAAGAUACCCAAACUGCACAGUAGAUAGAGGAGGGCUUCUGAUAAUACAGUGUUUGAAUACUACAUGUUUUUCUAAGUAUAACUACAUCUGAAGUUGAGUUCUGAGUGGUGUUACUGGAAUUUAAUAACUUUAAAAAAAAAAAAACUUCUGGAAAAACUGAGCAAACAACAGUGUUUGUACUACUAUUUCUCAUGGAGAUUCUGUUUUGAUUCUUUCAGUCACUUCGUAAAAACUCCUUGAUGUUAUAUAUCAACAGGGGACUACUUUGUUUUUGAGUGCAAAAGCAAUCUAGCAUUCGAAAAUAAAACCAUAGCCAUUAAUCAGGAUUUGAACAAUGUAUUUAAAAUAAAGUAACACAUAGUAGAAAAGGCAGAAUAAGAUAGAAAGGUAGAAUAAAUUUCAUCUCAGUUUUUUAUAGAUUUGCGUCAUAAAAAAUAACUAAUAUUUAUCUAUUUAUGAAUAACCAUGUGUAAUCCAAAGAUGCACUAAAAUCUUGUGUAAGAAGAUGUAAUCUUGAAAUUAGUACGACUGUAACUUAAAAUAGGACUUCAAGACAAUUCACUAUCAAGUAUGUUUGCCUUCAAGUUGCGGAAGUAGAAAUCAUGGUGAAUAUCUCAGAAAGUAUUAGUUCUAAUUUCCCCAGUAUUUAAGGGUGCAAAAUUCGGGGUUUUUCACAACUGUGAUACAGUUAUGAGAAUUAAUUAGCUUAAUUGUGUAUGUCAUUACAGCAGUGACUUAUAAAUGUGAACAGAAAAAAAAAGGCAACCCAAACCCUUCUGAUAGUUUCAGACAUUUGGAAAGGUCAGUUUUCUCUUGCAUUAUAUUACAUUUCUCAUAGUGUGGUCAGCUUAUCCCUUUUGGCAGUGAUUCUUAUGCUAGUCAGAUGUGGAAUAGGGUCCUACAGAGUUUUAUGCAUCUGCCUAAUAUUUCCAUUUCCAUUAUGGUUAUGCUGCUUCUAGAUACUUUACUUCUAAAUUUGGUUUUCAAUUACCGUCUUUAUACUGUGACAUCCAUGUACUGAGAAUUUAUUUCUGUUCAUGUGGAAGAAGCAGUCUUGCAAAACACUUAUCAGAUGGUCUGUGUUACAAAUUUAUAUAACACCUACCAGCAGAAACAAGAAUGUAGUCUCAAGAGCAUGCAGGUAUGAGACUUGCUUAAAAGAGAUUGUAUUUGUUAUUUUUCAUCUCAGGCAAUAUCCCUCUGUGGGAAAAGGCUGUAAAAAUCAUGGAGAUUAAAUAAAUGUGUGUUUUUCUAUAGAAAUUAUUUUAAAAGCAUAUACAUUUCAUUACCAUGCUUUUGUUUUAGAGAGAUUUAAUUGAUCAUCUGUAAUUCUGUAGCAGACCACCACGUGUAACUGUUGGUUGUUAACUGCAUAAUAAAUGCUAUAGAAUAUUUUCAUGAGAGCUAUUGUAUGUAUUACACUAUGUAAUGCAUGUAUGUUAGAAUCAGUUAUUAAUAUUUAUUAUUUUGAAAGCAGUAGGAAAUGCUUUAUUUGUCUU